rnacentral:tRNA from 1 species
UGCGGGAUCGUCUAAUGGUAGGACUACGGUUUCUGGUACCGUGUAUCUAGGUUCGAGUCCUAGUCCCGCAG